GGUGUUCAGCCCCCCUGGGAUGGACCCCGGCCCAGAUUCCUUCGGGAGGCAGCAGUGGGAAUUUUGACCAUGGGCGAAAGCCUGAUCCAGCAAUCCCGAGGGAGUGAUGAAGGCCUUAGGGUUGUAAAGCUCUUUAGCAAGGAAGAUAAUGACGUUACUUGCAGAAAAGGCCCCGGCUAACUCCGUGCCAGCAGCCGCGGUAAGACGGAGGGGGCUAGCGUUGUUCGGAAUUACUGGGCGUAAAGAGUGCGUAGGCGGUUUAGUAAGUUGGAAGUGAAAGCCCGGGGCUUAACCUCGGAAUUGCUUUCAAAACUACUAAUCUAGAGUGUAGUAGGGGAUGAUGGAAUUCCUAGUGUAGAGGUGAAAUUCUUAGAUAUUAGGAGGAACACCGGUGGCGAAGGCGGUCAUCUGGGCUACAACUGACGCUAAUGCACGAAAGCGUGGGGAGCAAACAGGAUUAGAUACCCUGGUAGUCCACGCCGUAAACGAUGAGUGCUAGAUGUCGGAAGAUUCUCUUUCGGUUUCGCAGCUAACGCAUUAAGCACUCCGCCUGGAGAGUACGGUCGCAAGAUUAAAACUCAAAGGAAUUGACGGGGGCUCGCACAAGCGGUGGAGCAUGCGGUUUAAUUCGAUGUUACGCGAAAAACCUUACCAACCCUUGACAUGGUGGUCGCGGAUCGCAGAGAUGCUUUCCUUCAGCUCGGCUGGGACCGCACACAGGUGUUGCACGGCUGUCGUCAGCUCGUGUCGUGAGAUGUUGGGUUAAGUCCCGCAACGAGCGCAACCCUCAUUCUUAUUUGCCAGCGGGUAAUGCCGGGAACUAUAAGAAAACUGCUGGUGAUAAGCCAGAGGAAGGUGGGGACGACGUCAAGUCAUCAUGGCCCUUACGGGUUGGGCUACACGCGUGCUACAAUGGUGUUUACAGAGGGAAGCAAGACGGCGACGUGGAGCAAAUCCCUAAAAGACAUCUCAGUUCGGAUUGUUCUCUGCAACUCGAGAGCAUGAAGUUGGAAUCGCUAGUAAUCGCGGAUCAGCAUGCCGCGGUGAAUACGUUCUCGGGCCUUGUACACACUGCCCGUCACGCCAUGGGAGUUGGUUUUACCUGAAGGUGGUGAAAUAACAGCAAGAGGCAGCCAACCACGGUAUUAAUAGCGUCUAGAUAUGAAUACACAGAGAACUUGCA
rnacentral:rRNA from 1 species